rnacentral:rRNA from 1 species
UACGGGGGGGGCAAGCGUUGUUCGGAAUUACUGGGCGUAAAGCGCGUGUAGGCGGCCUUGUAAGUCAGGUGUGAAAUCCCUCGGCUCAACCGAGGAAUGGCGCUUGAUACUGCAAGGCUUGAGGGAGACAGGGGUAAGCGGAACUGAUGGUGGAGCGGUGAAAUGCGUUGAUAUCAUCAGGAACACCGGUGGCGAAAGCGGCUUACUGGGUCUCUUCUGACGCUGAGGAACGAAAGCUAGGGUAGCGAACGGG